GGGGUCGUAGCUCAGUUGGUAGAGCGUCUCGUUCGCAAUGAGAAGGUCAGGGGUUCGACUCCCCUCGACUCCACCA
rnacentral:tRNA from 1 species